GAUGAACGCUAGCUACAGGCUUAACACAUGCAAGUCGAGGGGAAACGGCAUCGAAAGCUUGCUUUUGAUGGGCGUCGACCGGCGCACGGGUGAGUAACGCGUAUCCAACCUGCCCAUCACUUGGGAAUAACCUUGCGAAAGUAAGACUAAUGCCCAAUGACAUCCCACGAAGGCAUCCGAAUGGGAUUAAAGAUUUAUCGGUGAUGGAUGGGGAUGCGUCUGAUUAGCUUGUUGGCGGGGUGACGGCCCACCAAGGCAACGAUCAGUAGGGGUUCUGAGAGGAAGGGCCCCAACAUGGGAAAGGAAACACGGCCCAAACUCCUAGGGGAGGAAGAAGUGGGGAAUAUGGGGCAAGGGGGGGGGGCCUGAACCAGCAAAGUAGGGGGAAGGAUGACGGCCCUUUGGGUUGUAAACUGCUUUUUUAAGGGAAUAAAGGGGGUCACGUGUGACUUUUUGCAGGUACCUUAAAAAUAAGGACCGGCUAAUUCCGG
rnacentral:rRNA from 1 species